GUGACUUGUCCAAAGGGAUGUGCAAAUGCAGUGGCAACAUCAAGCCUGUGAUCCAACCCUAAUCCAAAGCAGGAGCCCCCCGGCAGUUAACUCAAGGACUGACCGCUUACCCCGCCGGUUUUCUCCCAGAUCAUGUGCGACCGGGUUUCAGCUCAGAGGAACCUCUUCUGUGGGGCAUUGCUGGCCGGAGCCGACAGCCUGGGGGAACCUUGCUUCGCAGCAGACUACCUUCCAAAACUGACAGCAAUGGAUCACACUGUGACUGCAGCAGGAGCUUCAGGCCUGUUGGCAGCAGCUGGUUGAGGGGCAAGAGCUAAAUGGCCAUCUCGGUUAAAACCAAGCUACUGUGUGAAAACAGCAAUGGAAGCAAUACUUAUUCAUCAGACCACAAUAGAUAUAUCCCUAUGUGAUGUACUUGGUUGUGGCUUUAAAAUGGUAGAACAGCAGUCUGGGAGAUUGCACCCAUGGUGAAAUGGGGAGCAUGGAUUAGUGUCUGUAGAGAUGCCCAGUUGUCCCUAAACAGAUUUUGCAUUUGGACUUUGAUAUGAGACACGUCGGAGGUUUUGCCCCUUAACACAGGACAGGGAUUGUGUUCUUUGGGACCACUAAUCUCCCUUCUGAAGGA